rnacentral:rRNA from 1 species
CCUACGGGAGGCAGCAGUGAGGAAUAUUGGUCAAUGGCCGGAAGGCUGAACCAGCCAAGCCGCGUGAAGGACGAAGGUGCCAAGCAUUGUAAACUUCUUUUGUCAAGGGACAAAAUCAGGCUCGAGAGCCUGACCGAGGGUACUUGAAGAAAAAGCAUCGGCUAACUCCGUGCCAGCAGCCGCGGUAAUACGGAGGAUGCGAGCGUUAUCCGGAUUUACUGGGUGUAAAGGGCGUGCAGCCGGAGAGACAAGUCAGAUGUGAAAUCCACGGGCUCAACCCGUGAACUGCAUUUGAAACUGUUUCCCUUGAGUGUCGGAGAGGUAAUCGGAAUUCCUUGUGUAGCGGUGAAAUGCGUAGAUAUAAGGAAGAACACCAGUGGCGAAGGCGGAUUACUGGACGAUAACUGACGGUGAGGCGCGAAAGCGUGGGGAGCAAACAGGAUUAGAUACCCUUGUAGUC